rnacentral:rRNA from 1 species
AACGAACGCUGGCGGCAUGCCUAACACAUGCAAGUCGAACGAGACCUUCGGGUCUAGUGGCGCACGGGUGCGUAACGCGUGGGAACCUGCCCUUAGGUUCGGAAUAACUCCCCGAGAGGGGUGCUAAUACCGGAUAAUGUCUUCGGACCAAAGAUUUAUCGCCUUUGGAUGGGCCCGCGUUGGAUUAGCUAGUUGGUAGGGUAAAAGCCUACCAAGGCGACGAUCCAUAGCUGGUCUGAGAGGAUGAUCCGCCACACUGGGACUGAGACACGGCCCAGACUCCUACGGGAAGCAGCAGUGGGGAAUAUUGGACAAUGGGCGAAAGCCUGAUCCAGCAAUGCCGCGUGAGUGAUGAAGGCCUUAGGGUUGUAAAGCUCUUUUACCCGGGAUGAUAAUGACAGUACCGGGAGAAUAAGCACCGGCUAACUACGUG